GGGAAUCAACUUCUUUCCCUGUGAAGGCACGCAUUUCCCCCUCCUGGGACACCGCCUAGAAUGACCCCCUGCCCCUCCGGGCGUGCGCCCGCAUCGAGGAGUGAGCAUUUGGGGGCGGUGCUUUCACGGUCGCCAUGGCCAGAUGCGCGCGGGCGGUGACCCAGAACAGGUGAGGCGGGAGGGGAGGGGCGGCCGCAGCUCAGGGCUGGGUUUGUCUAACGUGUGCCCUCUGGCGGCUGUUGCCUUUGGCCGGGAAGAGCACGUGCGCCUGGGGUCUCGGUGGAGGAUCUGCUAAAACAGCCGGGCUCCCUCCCGGGACCCGCUGGACACCCCAGGAUAGGAAGUCAUUGAGCGCGCAUCAGGGGGUGGGGCGGUGCCCGCUCCGCCCCGCCCUUUUCCUCCGGUCACCUCGUGGCCAUGGCAAGCUUGGGGCAGACCUCUGGUGCCCAGACGCCCUAGGCCUCCCUCCCGGAGACUCCUCGCCGCUCCCAGCAUACGUCAACCUGGCUCUGCCCUUGGCAUCACAAGCCGUCCUUUCCCUCUAAGCAGGACCGAAAGACAUGAACCGCUACCGUUAGCCAGCCCGAAGAGGUGGGGGCGGGGGAACUGAGGCCCCGAACGCAGCAGCCGCUGCCCAGGCGAUGGCGCCCCCCGGCCCUGCGCACCCACCUGGGCGCCCAGGUAGUUGCGAGCUCGCUGGCUCCGCCCAGGAGCAGGUCCAGCGUCCGCGCGACGCAGCGGCGGGUUUGCUGGCGGCGGAUCCGCAGGCGGCGCGUGCACUUCGCCAAGCAGCGCAGGGACUGGGCCUGUCGCGCCCCACAGCCUGCAGGGCCCCGGGGGGCGGCCAGACCUGCGGGCGGGUGCCGAGAAUCCGCCUGGCACGGCGGCCUCAGGGUUCCCCAGCACCACCGACCGCACAAAAAGGGAGGAGCCGCGCACCAGGCAAGCCCAGGGCACCGUGGAUCGGGGGAUCGCGAGAGGCUGAAUGUACAAACCGACCAAGGCCAGACCACAUACAAAAAUAGAACACUGAGCGAGCCGCAGCAAACCAGCCCGGGGGAGCCAAACCUCAACUUCUGCAGCAUCAACCCCCAAAGGCCAGAACUCGACAUUUCCUGAGCGCCUGUUGUGUAAGGAACGGCCCGAGGACACGCCCCUAAAGCCCUGCCUCAUAGGGGCUCCACUCCAGCAGAGGAAGAGAGACAGCAAUCAACGCGCAAAUAUAUUAAUAGAAAUGGAGGACAGAGGAUGAUAUAGCAGAAGGGGAUAGAGCGGGGAGGGGAAUUCCUGUCACUCAGGUGACGGAAAGCCUCUCUGAGGGGUAGCUGUGGCCUUCGUCCUCUUUGUUUAGGACGACUCUGGAGAACUAGGGGUCUCUACCCCUCUGCGGGCUGUGCGGCAGCCCCUCUCCCCUCCCCUAGUGCUGGCGGCCAUCUCCCUGCCGCUGUCCAGGACAGCAGUGCUGUGCACGUUGCUUUGCAGCCCCCAUCAGCAGCGUGCUUUGUUCCUGAGGCUCCGGAAGGACAGACGGGAAGCCAGCAUCAACCCACAGGGACAAGGAGAGCAUGUGAGGCUGCAGCCUCCUCUAGAACCGGGUGCUUUUGGGGACCCCAAGGUUGGCUCAGGGCUGUGAGCAGGGGCAAUGCAAGACACAGCAAAAUACCAGGCCGGAUGUGGGUUUGAGGUCUCACUGUCUGUAAGAAAAGGAAUAUGGCUCAGCUUUGGAAAGAGAGAGCUGGGUGGAAUCUCGCUUUGUCACCGUGUGACAUGGGGCCAAUUAUUUAACCUCUUUACUAAGCCUCACUUUCAGCACCUGGAAACUGAGAUGCAAAUAGUAGCCCUCUCACAGGGCUGUCGUGAGGUUUCCAUGAGAUAAUCUAUGUGAAGCCCAGAGCACAGAGCCUGGCGCCAGAAAACCCCUAAUAACAGGGCCUGUGUUAACCUGGCAUCCAGCAAGCCCAGGGGCUUAAGGGGUGGGCAUUGUUUGUUUCCUACGAGGAAACCGAGGCUGGAGAGCUUAACAUGGCCCCAUGAAGACUUGGAGCAGGGCACUGUGGGUCCUUUUCCAGCUCACUUCCCGACCUGUCCAGGGAUCUGUCCUGUUCUGGAUAGCAGCCCCCAAAGAAGGCUCUGGUUCCGCCUCUCCCACCUGCACUCGGCUUUCCAAGUAUUUGUCUAUGCGUGUAUAAAUAUGUAUUUUUUCUUCUUUUUUACACAAAUCGUAGCCCCUCGCCAUUUCCACUACCAAUAAUUCUUGGAACUCAUUCCAUAUCCGUACAUAUAGAGCUUCCUGAUUCUUUUUUAAGCCCGAGUGAUACCCCAUUGUAUGGAUGUAUGCAGUUUAUUUCCCACAGAUUGUCUGGUGCCUCUCCCAGAAGCAUGCCACCCACUUUGGAGAUCUCUGGAUCACACAUUGUUUCCUGUGAACUUCAGCUUAACUGUGAUGUGAAUUGGUGUGGCCUCUGGGGUUCGUUGUGAAAUGUUUUGACUUGUCUCCCCUGAUCUAACACCAGGCAUCUCUGAGCUGUCACCGAAACCAGACCACACCUGCCAGGAAUACAGGAAGGGGGGUGGAGAUGGUGAGGUGCAGGAGAUGCCAGUCUGGGAUGCAGUAGCGCUGGGCCCCCAGCAAUCUGAGGCCCACCGGUAGUGAUAGGUGAUGAUGGCCCCCCCUGUGGUUCAGGACCAGCUUGCAAUCCACUCCACACAGUGAGGAAGCCCGCAGAGGAGCCUGCCUUAGGGACAAGUGGGCAAAGAAAGGGACCCACAGCGAGGACCCAGGGUGUGCUGCCUGCAGACUUACAGAGAGGCCUUGAGGUCGUUAUCAUGCCAGCCACACCCACUGACAUGGUGCCACUGUCAAGCUUGGGAACCCUGUACCAAUGACUGGGGCAGGUGCCAAGACGUUCUCCACUAAAUGGUGAGAUGUCAGCAGCUCGCUGGGGAAGAGGAUGGACUGAAACCUCCCCAGGCCCCCCACUCUGUCCAAGGAUCAGCAAGGGCCAUGGGGCCCCUGAGAAGAGUUGUGGCAUCACGGGGAGCCACAGGCAAGGACGUGCUCGGAGCAGGUGUACCAGUUUCCUCUUGCUGCUGUGACAGUGACCACCAACGUGGUGGCUUAAAACCACACCAUGGGCUUCCCUGGUGGCGCAGUGGU